AUUGAACGCUGGCGGCAGGCCUAACACAUGCAAGUCGAACGGUAACAGGAAGCAGCUUGCUGUUUCGCUGACGAGUGGCGGACGGGUGAGUAAUGUCUGGGAAACUGCCUGAUGGAGGGGGAUAACUACUGGAAACGGUAGCUAAUACCGCAUAACGUCGCAAGACCAAAGAGGGGGACCUUCGGGCCUCUUGCCAUCGGAUGUGCCCAGAUGGGAUUAGCUAGUAGGUGGGGUAACGGCUCACCUAGGCGACGAUCCCUAGCUGGUCUGAGAGGAUGACCAGCCACACUGGAACUGAGACACGGUCCAGACUCCUACGGGAGGCAGCAGUGGGGAAUAUUGCACAAUGGGCGCAAGCCUGAUGCAGCCAUGCCGCGUGUAUGAAGAAGGCCUUCGGGUUGUAAAGUACUUUCAGCGGGGAGGAAGGGAGUAAAGUUAAUACCUUUGCUCAUUGACGUUACCCGCAGAAGAAGCACCGGCUAACUCCGUGCC
rnacentral:rRNA from 1 species